rnacentral:tRNA from 1 species
GGGGUUGUGGCUCAGAGGUAGAGCGCUUGCCUAGCAUGCAUGAGGUACUAGGUUCGAUCCCCAGCACCA